rnacentral:lncRNA from 1 species
AUAUGAAGACUCAAAAUCUGCAAUACGGAAAACUAGGGAGAGGAGUUUGAUGAAACAGAGCACUGAAAACGACUUUGGACACAACAUUCAAGCUUGAUUCUGUCUGAAUUUGGAUUGUGAUCAAACUUUUGACAUUGUAUAAGUGUCUGACACAAAAUAAAUGUCAAGAUCUUAUAAAUAUAUUGCACUGUGCAAUUAAAAAUUCUUCUUGAAAAUUAAAAAAAAAAAAUUAACUCCCUCCUUGGAGCAAUUACCCCUGUACACAAUUGACUAGACCUAUUGCUUAUAGUUUCCGAGAUAUGACCACCAAAACUCAACCUUGUUCACCGACCCAUGAAAUGGGGUGGAGGUAAAGUAUAAUCUGUUUGACGGGCAUGAGGACCUUUCACAUACCAAAUAAAGUUAUUGAGAAAAAUUGGCAAUACAAAAAUCAAGUAGUCACUGAACCAUGAAAAUGAAAUCCAGGACUAUGGAUAUGCAACUGACAGAAACUUCGCAACAUAAGGCAUCUAUAUACAAAGUAUGAACCAUCCAGGGCUUCCACCUUCUGAUAUAUAAAGCUUAAGAAGUUAGUUCACACUGCCGGAUGACCAUCCCUAUGUCCAGCUUUCUGGCGACAAAAGUUGAGGACUUGACAAUAAAACUAUAAAGUAAUUUCUCAUUAUCUUGAAGGUUGUUAAACGUGCAAUUGAAAUUGGAUACACACAUGUGUGCAAACACCUUUCUGAAGUAUACAGGUACACUCACAAGAGUAGUUUAAAUAAAAAGAAUCUACUGUUAUAUCAUUUUUCUAAUUCUUUGUCAAUUCAAACAAGCUAAAAGUGACACCACCCAAAUUGAAACUUAAUUGGUGUAAUGGCAAUAAAUAUUUGUUAGAAAUUUCCUAACAUUUGGUGAAAGUAAACUAAAGUGAGAUUAGAAACCAAUUUCGGGAAGUUUGUACAUACCAAGGUAAAACUAAAUGCCCCCUCCUCUACAGCAUACAAAAUCCACCACAUUGACCAAUGAACCAUAGAAAUGAGGUCAAACAAACUAGACCUGCCAAUGCAAUAUUUUCACACACAAAAUAAGACAACUUCAUAUCUUAAUUCAAUAAAUUAUUUCAGUGUUAGACGCCAAAUAUUUUUUUGUUGAAACCAUGAUUUCAUCAUCUUGUUUAUAGACCAUUGUUGGAAUUUUUACAAGUGUAGCAGGAACUCUAGAUUCUCCUCUUCAGUAGUAUAAAUACAGUCUGCACGGUUAGCCACUAUUCCUUUGCCCCUGACAAGUAAAAUUUCAUUUGGACUAGCAAACUUUGUUUGGACCAACAAGAAAAAUGUCAGAAUACUGGUCUUUAGACUUGUUGAAAAAGUUUUUGGUGCAGACUGCAAAUACCCUACCGAGCAGCUGAUUUUGCCUUGGGUUUUUGUUCUCCCUUGUUCAAUAUUUGAGAAUUUAGUUCUCACAGAAUGGUAUAAAUGCAUUUCUUAAAGAUGACAAUGUGACUGUUCUAUUAUUUGGUUUGGAUGUUGUCAAUCUGAUCUGCAGAAAAGUUCAGUUGCAGACAUUUUCAUAAUCAAGUUUUCUGUAUAUUGAUACUAUUGAAUAUAAGCUGGAAGUCGAUGUAUAUAGAUUUUUAUUAAAUGACCUCAGUGAUAAAAUUCAAAAUGUCUUCAAAUUGUAAGAUAAAAUCUGUGUUUUUAUGUGUGGCAGAAACAACAGGGUUCUUUUUUUAACAGCAAACUUGAAGAGAAAUUGUUCUAGUCAAACAUAUCCAACAUCACAAAGCAGUGAUAAACAAUUUCUAAUUUUUAGAAAGAGCUUAAUACUCUCUUUAUAUAAGCAAGGACAAAUAAAAAGAAAUGUAGGCAACAAGUAUGAUCUAAUUGUGGACUUAUAAAUGUAUCCUCAAUUAAAAACCUCAACUUAUUCUUUUGUAUCUCGUUCUACACAAGUUGUGUUCUAUUUACACAGACAUCACCAUGUGCAAUGUAGAUUUUGUUAUUGUAACUUGAUAUACAUUUUUAAAAUACAAGACACAAAUUCUUCCAUUUUUUUUUUAUUUGAUGCAGUCUCUAACAGUUUAUUUAGCUGCCAUUCUGCGAUCUCUCUCUUCAGCAAUACUCAAUUUGACACCUUUACCACGUGGAAGUGACACAUAUGGUUUGUUUCCUUUUCCGAUGAUGAAAACGUAACUUAAUCUGAAAAUAUAUAACAUACAUGUAUAAAUUGACAAACAUCAAAUAACAAAUUCCAAUACUUUUUUAUACAGCAAACAGUAAUUGUAAACUUCUACAUGUCAUUUGAUCUCUGGUGGUGUGUUGCAUCAUAAGCAAUCUUACCAAAUCUUAUUUUGUUUAAAUACAGGGUGGUUCUGAUCAUGCAUCAAUUACUUAAAAAGA